rnacentral:pre_miRNA from 1 species
AGGAGGAACAGCCCCAGUGGCGGGGCAGCUCUGGAAACCUGGAUUCAGCUGCGGCAGGGACUCCGUCUGCAGGGCCUGGAGGCUCCGGGGCGGG